CCUGGUUGAUCCUGCCAGUAACAUAUGCUUGUCUCAAAGAUUAAGACAUGCAGGUCUAAGUGCACAAGGCCGGUACAGUGAAACUGCGAAUGGCUCAUUAAAUCAGAUAUGGUUCCUUUGAUCGCUCCCACCCGUACUUGGAUAACUGUGGCAAUUCCAGAGCUAAUACAUGCAAACGAGCGCUGACUGGGCCCCUUCACGGGGACCUGCGGAUGUGUGCAUUUAUCAGAUCCAAAAACCCAUCCGGGGGCCUCGUGCUUUGGUGACUCUAGAUAACCUCGGGCCGCUAGCGCGCCCUCGGUGGUGACGAUUUGUCUUUCGAAUAUCUGCCCUUUCAACUUUCGAUGGUACUUUCAGCGCCUACCAUGUUGACCACGGGUAACAAGGAAUCAGGGUUCGAUUCCGGACAGGGAGCCUGAGAAAUGGCUAUCACAUCCAAGGAAGGCAGCAGGCGCGCAAAUUACCCAUUUCCGACACAGUGACGUAGUGACGAAAAAUAACAAUACAGGUCUCUUUCGAGACCCUGUAAUUGGAAGGAGCGUAUCCUAAACCCAUGGGUGAGGACCCAUUGGAGGGCAAGUCUGGAGCCAGCAGCCGUGGUAAUUCCAGCUCCAAUAGCGUAUAUUAAAGUUGCUGCAGUUAAAAGCAAUUCCUCUGCCCGCAAUGCGAAGUCUAACGGUAGUGUGAAGGUUCGUUGCGGUGAUUGCUAAUACUACAGCACCAGAAGGAGGAAUGGGUCCCUGUAACGGUUUUGCCUCGUAUGCCUGAGUGGCCCAAGAAACAGGGCUUGGUAGGUGUGCCCAGAGGUGCUAGCCCUUCAAAUAUAAGCCUCAAUAUUGGUCUGAGCAAAGUGGAGAAAAAUGGUGUCCACCACCAUAUAGCACCUGUAGACGGUGUUUAUGAGCUGAGUAGGGAAGUCCUGUGGUCCAGGUAGGCUGUGAGGCAGCGGAAGUCCCCCUGGAGGUCCAGACCAGCAAACGCUCCAGGGCCAAGACUUAUUUAUUUAUUCCUUGGUGCCGCCAUGGGUGAAUUUGAAUUAUGGACUGCCUUUGAAUGAAGUUUGAUCAGACUUUAAGUUGACAGAAGAAAGUUUCAAGAGGCUACCUGUUAAGAAACGCACGUUUUCCCCGUGGAAGUCCUACAGUAAGCCUAUAAGAACACCUGUGACUCAAUACUUUUGGCAGUAUAGUGUAUUUCUACUUUGUUCUAUUAUUGUUGUAAUAAUAAUAAUUAAUGUUAUUAUCAGUUGUCCUACUUGAUAGAAAAGUAUGUUUUUGUAGAACACUACUACACA
rnacentral:rRNA from 1 species